AUAGUUUUUUCCUUCAUUUUAAAUGCACCAGCAUUGCAUUUCUAAUAAUCCAAAUGUGUAUAAUGCAGAACCAAUGUGUGAACAAUGAAAAAACUCAUUACUCUGGCACUGUGAAUGGAACAAUUCAUGUUGUUGUCGGCGGAGGGGGAAGUCACUUGUCGGACUUCACAACAGCACCUCCUAUUUGGAGUAUUUUCAGGGACAGAGACUACGGUUUCGUCAAACUGACAGCAUUCAAUCACUCAUAUCUCUUGUUUGAGUACAAGAAAAGUAGUGAUGGAAAGGUUUAUGACUCUUUUACAAUUUCCAGGGACUAUAGAGAUGUCUUGGCCUGUGUGCACGAUGGUUGUGAGAAAACCACCUUGGCAACAUGAGUUAUGUCUCUGCAUUAGUUCACUGAUGUAGUCUUGAAAUGGAAAGUAUUUCGAAAUAAAUUAAUAAAUAAAUGAAGGCUAUUAUGUUCAAUCUCCAAUUCUCAUGAUCAUUUAGAUAUUUAUACAUAUAAAUCACCAUCAUAACAAAGAAAGCAAUCAAAUCUGUUUCGAACUUUGAUAAUGUACAAGGAAAUUAGGGUAGCAAGAAUUAUAUGUGACCCAGUCAAAUGUAUUCUAACUAGCAAGGCAAGAAUUCUAAGGAAAGUGGGGGUAUAUCAACACACUCUCUAUUUUCAUUAUGAUAAAAAGAUAUAUCAAUUUUAACAUAUACUAUGAUAAAAUACUUUUGGUAAAUAAGAUUAAUAUAAACUCUUUUUAUAAUGUCUAAUAUUCUUCAUAUCGUAGUGGGAUGCUCGUAUUUUAAACCAUUUUAAAUAAAAUAGUUUAACUAAAGGUAAAAUAUGUAAGAAAAAAAUCAGCUCAAACUCACAUACUCCCUCCAUGAUGAAAUAGAAACAAAAAAGGUAGGUGGGAAGUUGAUUUUUGAAUAAGCUAAAUUAGCCCACCUAAAUUGAUAUUGGGGAGAAUCGAACAUUAGACCUCGAGGAGGAGCACACUCCCAUAAGUGAGAAGUUGAUGUAUGUAGACUAAAUUUUUAUACGUUGAUUUUUCAACUAUCCGUUUUGUUGAUAUUUCAUUAUGGAUGAAGUAUUUUAUAUAUAGUAUAAAAGAUAAAUAAUGAGUUGUUUAUGUCAAAAAAAAAUAAUGAUUUGUUCUUUUGUUUGAUCGAGGGACAAUUUUGUCGUGGCAGAUCUUGACCAAAAUUUUAGAGGGUGACAUAUCUUUUUUUUUUUUUUAAAAGACAGCAAGCACAAGGUGUGCCACCCUCUAAACAAACGGUCCAAUUGUGAUGGUGAUGGAGGAGAGUUGUUGGUUGUGGUUGGAGGAGCAAGAAUUGUUGGGGAAGAUAAUGUUAAAAAAUUAAGUGUAGAGAGAACAUGAUAAGAGUGUGUUCUUUAUUUAAUCAAAGGGCUAAGAUCAACUUUUCCAUCAUAGGAAACUACUUCCCUUUUCCAUACUAAACUCCACCAGCUAAGAGGACCGAAAGUUUGUGGGAAAACGUGCUUCCAUCGUUUGGUAUGCAUGUUAUAGAGGAUGGAAAGCCUCAAAUUGAUGGGUCCCGCACCUACAAUCUUUCGGGUUCCACUUGUGUAGCAUUGGCCAUUUUUAUGUUAUAUAACACUGCCCAUUCAGGGUGUGCCACAUGGCACACCCUUUUUUUUUAAAAAAAAUCGAGAAUUAGAAAACAGGUGAGAGUAGAAACCAAUGAAAACUCAAAAAUUUCCUCUUCUCUUCUCCCCUACGACAUCAGAACCCACCACCUACCAUCAACUUUUCUCCGCCGCCGUCCUCCUCUCCGCAUAGCAUUGAAAAGGUCUACUAUAGUAACUUCUUGUUUUCAUUUCAUGUAUUCCAGGUUCAUUUGAAACUAAGAAUCGUCUUUAACUUAAUGUCUUCCCACAUAUCUUGUGUGUUCUCCAAAUUUAGUCAUGAGAGUUCAAGACAAGCUUCAUCAUUUAGAAGACAUUGAUGAAAACUGUAUUCAAAAGGAAUUGGAAACUGAUUGUACCGAGUUUCCUUACCCGGAUUUACUAAUCCAGACAAGUGGAGAACUUAGAGUUGGUAAUUUCUUGUUAUGGAAAUUUGCAUAUUCAGUACUUUUCUUCAACAAAAAACUUUGGCCAAAUUUUGGGAAGGCAUGUUUCAAAAUAGACAGAGAUGCUAUGGUGCUAAUUAAAGAGAAGAGGAACAGUGGUCGAUGACAGAGAGGAGGACGGCGGUGGAGGGAGGUGUCGGCGGUGGCGGAGAAAAGUUGAUGGUAGGUUGUGGGUUCUGAUUGGGCAAUGUUAUAUAAUAUAAAAUGGUCAAUGUUACAUAAGUGGAAUCCCAAUCUUUCCUCCCAUGUUUGCAGAAAACACGAUCUCACCCUCCAAUAUGACAAAUUGACCAAAACACCCUCACUUGUGGAGCAAUUUUUUUUCGCCGUGCAUGUUCUCUUUCUUUUUUUCAAUUAACAUGUUUUUCACUUCAAGGCUUUUAGACAUGUUUUUUUUGUCUUUAUAACUUUUUUCAAAAAAAAUGACGGUCAUUUCUUAAGUAUAUAUAACAUCAAGUGUUAUAACAAAAUACAAAGGCUACCCUAAAAAAAAAACUAAAAACAAAGGUUAUUUAUGUCAUUUCAUAAAUGUAUAUCUUUAUUUCCUUUCACUUUCUUUUCACUUUCAUUCAUAUCAAACAACUAAACAAUCAUCUCACUUUCUAUCCUUAAACAAUAUUUCCUUUCACUUUCUUCCCUGGUUCAAACAAUGCCUUGAAGCUCAUACACACGUCUGAACUAUAAUGCAUACUAGUAUGUAAGAAAAUCACGAAAAAAUUGUGGCCUUGACAUCUCUAUUUGUUUACUCUAUUCCCAACUUCUCUCAACACAAGCAUAGCUUAUAAGAACCAAUAUUGCAAAUAGAAAGAAAAUACUUCUACUUUUUUUUCUUCUUCCAAUUUUAAGGCCACAUGUUUGUGGAAACUGUCCACAAUCUGUACGUAAUAAAGAAUGCUGCACGAGCAACGCGAGUUUUUUUUUUUUUUUUAUGACAAAUAUUUUCUUUUUUUAUUAGCUAGUGAAAACUGAUCCGUAAAACAAAAAAAAAAUUCAAAGCUUUUUCUCUUAAACUUUCUUAUUAGAGAUUUAUCUAAUAUGUCCUACACGUAAUGUGAAUACUUCUCAAAACAUAUAAAAUUCACUAACAUCAAGACAAACAUAUCCUUGUCAAAUGUUACAUUUUUCACUUAUUCAUCUUAAUGCUAAAAUUUCUAACCAAUAAGUUAUUUUAUAAAAAAUAAUAAGAUAAACUAUGGUGUCUAUAUUAUCCAAGAGAUAAAUAAAGACUUUCCAUUUUUCUUUUUUAGUUACUAAUUUUUUUUUCCCAAUGCUAUUUAUCUUGCCCUGGCAAACAAUUACUUUCCCACCCAACCAUGUCUCAUGCUUCACACAUUAUAGUUAUAUAUAAAUUGGUUUAUGGGUGUAAUAAAACAAUUGUUUAAUUUUUUUUGAACAAGCCAACAAUUGUUUAAUUAUAACUUAACAUUGUGUGUAUCGUUAACAAAUAUCUUCGAAACACCUUUUAAACAUUAAAAUUAAGACGACCAAAAUUUCAUGAUGAUUCAAAAUGAAAGCUCAAACAACUAAAGUUUAAAAAUGAAUGGAUUGUUUAAUAUAUGAAUCAUAUAUUAGAAUAUUAUAAAAACUUCUUUUAUAUAAUAUUUGAAUUUUUGAACAUGUAAUGAAUUUUUUAAACAUAAAAAAUUCUAGAUAAAAGUAAUAAAAUUUGAACCAACAAAUCAAAAUUUGAACUCAUACUCUGUGAAAUAACUUUUUAUAAUGUUCAAAAUAUGCAAACAAAAAAUCAUUAAAAAAUAUGUUAUAUAUAUGUUGACUUAACAAUAAGGAUUUAAGCUGAUUGCGGAUAAUUUGUAGGACUAACAAUUGUAGUUUUUUUUGUAUGAUAUAUGAUCAUGUAAGUUUUCUCCCUUAAAAAAGUUCUGUCAUAUUUUUAUUUUAUUUUGAAAACUCGAUAUCCACCCCCAAUGUCCAAUACGUAAAUAUCUUAUAUAUUGUAAAGUUUAUAGAUUUAUAAAGUUUAUCUUUUGGAAAACAUAGAGUAGUUUACUGCCUCAUUUUAAUUAUUCAUUUUUCUCUUGUAUAUUCCAUCUAAUAUAAUAUACUUAUAUAGAUUUUCAAAAAUUGUUACUAUCAACUAUAUUCCAAUGGCGGAUUCAGGAAUACUAGUUAGGAAAAACUACACAUGGGUAAUUUAAUUUAAAGUUUUAAACAUUUCCUUAUAUUUUUCGUUUCAUAUUAAUCAAUCUUUUAUGUUACGAAAUAUUUACAUUGUUGAACCAACACUCAUUCUUUUUUUGAGAGGUAAUUUUUUUUUUUUUUUUAGGAAUUGAGAGGAACAUUAAUUCUUAAUUCGCUUAUGUUUUAUUUUUUUGACAAAUCUUAAUUCACUUAUGUUAGAAUUUAUGCACAUGAUUAUUAUACGAAAAAUGCUAAAUAUCCCGAAUAUUAUCAUCCCGAAAGCAUCGCGAACUAUGUCUUGACCGUACAAUUUCCAAUGCAAAAGUUGCUACUUUUAUAUGCUUAAACGAUGUAUUUAGGGCACUCGUUAACAUUUUCCUUUUCUAUAUAUACAAUUCCCUCCUGUAGUUAUGAAAAUCAAGAACCUCUCAGAGAGGAGGGUAAUAAUUUCAUCUAGCUAGCAAAUAAUUUUUCAUUUGAAAAAAUGAAAGGUUCUAGUUUUUCCAAGAUAAACAUGAUAUUUGUAAUAUUAUGCUUCUUCACAAACUUGAGGAUCUGUUUGGGUGAUAUGAAUGGAAUUGGAGAGCAGCCACUUUCAAAGAUUGCCAUUCACAAAACCAUUCUUGCUCUCCACAGUUCUGCCUCCAUUACUGCUUCCCCCUUUUUGCUUGGCAAUAAGGUAUAAACAAAAUUUUAAUAUUUUCUUCCAGUUUGAUUGAUUUAACCUAUUUAUUUGAUUUUCAUUUCUCAACAAAUGUUUAGAUUACAAUUUUAAAUGACUGGAGAAAAUUAAUUAAUGAAAUUUAAAUAAUACAUGAACCUUGGUAUUUUACUCCAAGAGCGUAUAAAUUAAUGUUAUACAACCAGAGAAAGAAGAUACCAGUACCGUAAUUCCGUAAUUCUAGCUAGCAUGAAAAUACUUAAACUCUUUUGAAUAAAUAUUAUUGUUUGCAUGUAGCAGGUAAAUCUUUUACGUAUUUUCAUAUUUUUUACUUUUGAGAUAUAUAAUAUAUAUAUAUAUAUAUAUAUAUAUGUGUGUGUGUGUGUGUGUAUUUUACGACACUAUCUCCAUUCAACAAUAAAUAUCACAUUUGUAAAUUUAUAUUUAUGGGACUCAUCUAGUUUUUAAAAUUGCUAAAGUAUGGUAGUUAGCACUACCACGUAGUUCAAAAAUGACAUUAUCACGAGUCACAAUUAUAAGAUCUUCCUGAAAAAGACAUAAUCAUGAUAUUAUUGUGUGUGAAAGAGAAAGAGAGAUGAGGGAUGACAAUUUCCUGCAGUAAAAAAUACGUGCCGUUACACAUAGUUUUAUAUAUCUUGACCAUUAAUCCAAGAUCAGGCAAUUCAGAUUAUACAAUCAGUAAAUUAAUUAUUAAUGAUCACGACAUUGAUUUUAGAUCGAACUAUUUAGAUUUAAGUGUGUCAUGCAUGCACUCAUGCAUUUACAACAAAGAACCCAAAUAUGAGAGAUGGAGCUUAUGAGUGAUGUAAUAUGGGGAAUGGUUGAAAGGUAAAGAAAGUACUAAAUUGAUUAAGCUGGUCUGUAGAUAUUUUAAUAUUAUUCCUACACACAAUUGGAGAAAUUAUUAUUUUUUUCUUUUAAGGCAAAUGGAGUGUAGAUGGGGGACCAUUUGCAACACCCUAAAAAGAUUAAAACGAAAAAUAAGAAAAUACAAAAUAUUAGAGGUGUGUAUACCUGACUUAGUUAAACCACAUCAAAAUGUAGCAAUCAAUGCAAACAAGUAUUAAAAUUAAGUCUUCAAAGGCGCACAUACCGAACAUCGCAAACACUAUCCAAUGAACAGGCGUACACGCGCGAAACCAGAAUUAAGUCUUCCAAUAAAGAUGAUAAAUUACUAGCAUGAAUUUGCUCCAUCUACCUUCAUUUACUAUACAUUUGUGAGAUACAAAUGAAAGAUAAGUUAGAUUAUAUUUUAAUAAAUCAAACACACUAAUAAGUUUCACUAGUCCUCUAUUUGUGUCUAUCUAUUUCAUUAAUGAACAAUAAAUGAAAGGUAGAUAAAUAUAGUAAACCCGAACUCAAGAAUUACACAUACAGUAAAAAUCCUGGCCCAAAAAUUUUAACGUUGUUGAAUGAGAAAUUUGAACUCAAGGCCACCGAAAUGACAUAUAUGAAAAUUGAUUUCAUUUAAUAUAUUAUUUGGAAAUCUAAAAAUUAAAGUAAUUUAAUUAGGGAAUAAUUUUUUAUCAAUAUACAAAAAGAAAUUCAUACAAAUUUAUAGAUAAUCGAAUUUAUUUUAUUUUUAAUUAUUAGUAUUAGCAUUUUGCUUUUAAUACUUGAAUUAAUUAGCAUAUUUUUAAUUUUAGGUAAUGAUAAUAAAGUAUAUUAGUAAAAUAAACUAUAUUUAGUUUUUGUCCAAAAACAAUAAUUUAGUUAAUGUAUUACCAAUAUAGAAUUUAAUCUAUAAACAAAUUCAAAACAAAUUAAGUAUUUCUUGAUUUUACUCAGUCAUAGAGACAUGCUCCUCUUUGUUCCAAAAAUGUAGACAAAGUUUGAUGAGAUGUCAAUUUCUGACACAUACAAUAUAUUGUACUCGUGGAUCACUUUAAUUGGUUUGUUGUUAAUCCACAAUUAGAUAACCACGUGUUAAUUAUGAUGUACUAUAUUGUUGCAGGAUGAGGAUACAGAAUGGGUGACUGUAGAAGUGGAGUCCCCUGAACCAACUAAUGAAGACCGGGUUGGGGUUUUUACUCCAACAAACUUUAAGUAACAUACAACUCUCUAUGUUUUUGUUAAUUACUAAUUAACCAAUUAAAAUGUUGACAGCUUGUUCUUUAAACACAUUUUUCCAAUACAUCAUAUCAUAUCAUACAUAUACUAUGACUCUUAUGAUGAGUAUGAUUAGUAAAUAUCAAGUCUUUUUUAGAGUUUAGAAAGGGAUGGGAGGGGAGGGGAGAGUCUUGAAAAAAAGAAUGAAGAAUGAAGUGGAUGGAACAAAAUACUUUUGAGGAGUUUAUUUUUCUUUAUGGUACAGAACUCUUUUAAUUUAAAUUUUUUUUAACAGAUUCUAAUUUAGAACUUAAAAGAUUGAUUGUAUUGAAGGAUGAUUUUGAAGGACUUCAGGAAAUUAGGAUAAUUCUCCAAAUUUAAUAUACGUUGUUAUAAUAUUUUUAAUAUUAAAAAUACAGUAUUAAUCAUAAGCAUUCACUUAUCAUUUUUAACAAAACACUUCCCUCCUUUUUCCUCCGAACUCUCCAACAUAGCCUAAACGGUCAUGGCCAUAAUAAACUAUGCAUAUAUCUCACUAUUAUUGCUGAAAAACUAACUAAAGGAAAAAUAUUUUUGACAUCACAGUUCAUCAACAUGUCCACCCAACCCCAGUGGCAUUGGAAAGUUAGAUAUCCCUUUUAUAUGCUCGGCCCCAAUUAAGGUAAAUGCAUCUCCAUCCCAUAUAAAUUGCAUAUGAAAUGGAUGAACAUAUACUCCCUCCGUCCCUAAUUAUAAGAUCCUUUUGAGAAUUUUUUUUGUCCCUUUUUAUAAGACCCCUUAGUUAUUUCCAACUACAUUAAUUAUUUCUUUACAUACAUGCCCCUAUUUAUUAUACAUCUUUUUCUUCAAUCAGCAAUAAGUAGCAUAUGGAAAACAUAAACUAACUCUCUCUCUUAAGGAUAAAAUUGUAAAAACAAUAGUGAUUACAAACAACUUUAAUACAAAUAUCCGCUUUCUUAAUUCCCGUGAUUUUAGCAAAAGGGUCUUAUAAUUAGGGACGGAGGGAGUAUCAUGUUUUGUUAAUUAUAAAAAUUGAAUGUUAAUUUGUAACAGUAUAAGUAUGCCAAUUGCCAACCACUCCAAUCCUAAAUACAAAAAGACAGGAAAAAAUACUUUGAAGUUUUGAAUUGAUCAAUCAACGUGCAGAUUUCUCUUUUGCAUUAUUUUCAGGUGGAUUAUCCAAUGUAAGUCAUUUCUUCAAUUUUUUUUCCAUCUUUGCUUAGUAUGCAAUGCAAUGAUCAUCAUUGUUCAAUUUUAUGCUAACAAGUGUUCAUUUGAUUGAGCAUUGCAGCCUAAGCUUGUGGCAGUUUCGAACUUCAUCGCAUUUGCAAAUCCUAAAGCACCUGUGUAUCCACGCCUUGCUAAUGGAAAGUCUUGGAAUGAAGUAUGUUUAAACUGAUUCAUACCAUUUAUAUAUGAUAUAUGUUUGAAUUGAUAAUUAAUCCAAGGCAAAACUUUGAGACAAAUUUCUUAAAUAUUGUUAAAUGAUAUUACUUUUUUUACCACUCAUACUAAAAUUUUGUAAUUGAAAUAGCUGCAUGAAUUGUCUAAUUUAAACAUGUAGAAUAAUUUUUAGAAUUUUUUUCCACCCAUAACAGAUGACAGUUACUUGGACAAGUGGAUAUGACAUAAGUGAAGCUGUACCGUUCGUGGAAUGGGGUCUAAAGGGUGGAAAGCAGAUACGCAGAUACAAUCUGCUGCUGGAACAUUGACAUUUAAUCGUAACAGCAUGUGUGGUAUGUAUUACUACAUCGUAACGCAAUUUCAUAACUUAUUAUCUUUUUCUAAAAAUGAAUCUCAACAUAUAUUGAGGACAUUUUGUUUAUCGAUAGGCCAACCUGCACGAACUGUUGGCUGGCGCGAUCCUGGUUUUAUACACACAAGUUUCCUUAAAGAACUUUGGCCAAAUAUGAGGUAUGCAUUCAGUCAUUUUCAUGACGCAAGUUUUUUCGCUUAACUUUCCAGUUCGACAAAAGUUCACAAAGCUUAGCAAUCUUCCUUGUUCUUUCCCCAGGUACACCUACAGGUUAGGGCAUUUCAUGUCUGACGGUUCUUAUGUAUGGAGUAAGAGGUAUUCAUUCAAGGCAUCUCCAUAUCCUGGACAAAACUCGUUGCAACGCGUUAUAAUAUUUGGUGACAUGGGAAAGGUAGCAUUGGUUAUUUAAGGUUUAUAAUAUUUGAAAGAAUGAGACUUUUCUAACUUUUGAAUAAGAAACUCUAAUUUUAAGCAUGAAUAGUACAAUGGGAAGAAGGCUUACUUUGCUUUGCGUGUUCUUUAGGCUGAGCGUGAUGGUUCAAAUGAAUAUGCUAAUUAUCAACCUGGUUCACUUAACACCACCGACCAGCUCAUCAAGGAUUUAGACAACUUUGACAUUGUUUUCCACAUAGGAGAUAUGCCUUAUGCAAAUCGAUACAUCUCACAGUGGGAUCAAUUCACAGCUCAAGUUCAACAAAUUUCAUCAACAGUUCCAUAUAUGAUAGCAAGGUUCGCUUGCUUGCAAUCAUUUUAGGCCAUAGAAAUUUGAAUUGAGUUUUACAUAUUCUUUUAAACUGAAAGGAUAUCACAUUUAUUCAUACUGCGGUGGAAAUCACGAACGCUCUUGGCCAAACUCAGGAUCCUUCUAUGACACUCCAGAUUCUGGUGGAGAAUGUGGAGUACCUGCAGAAACCAUGUACUAUUACCCUGCUGAGAACAAAGCCAAAUUCUGGUGAGUUAUAUUAAUCUAAAUGCAAACUAUGACAUGUUUAGCAUUAAUAAAUCAUAUUUUCUUUUCUAAACUGAACUUUUCACUACUUGGUCCAAGAUAGUGCAUAAUUGCAUAUGAUCCUGACCAACGGUUGCGUAAUUAUUUCUAUAAUUUCAUGAUAUCUGCAAAAGAUACAUUUUCAUCCUUAUAGUUCAUGGUGCAGUUUCUAGUUUUUGCAAGUGAAAAAUAAACUAGGAGGUACUAUUUUUCCAUUCCUAAUGAACGACGAAAAUUGGAAAUAUGCAGGUAUGCCACAGAUUAUGGCAUGUUUCGUUUCUGUAUAGCAGACACUGAACAUGACUGGAGAGAAGGAUCGGAACAAUACAAAUUCAUCGAGCAUUGCCUUGCAACAGUAGAUAGAAAACAACAACCAUGGUUAAUCUUUGCAGCACAUCGCCCACUUGGUUACUCCUCUAAUGAUUGAUACGCCAAAGAGGGUUCAUUUGAAGAUCCCAUGGGAAGGGAAAGUUUGCAGGGGCUUUGGCAAAAGUAUAAAGUAGACAUUGCAUUUUAUGGUCACGUCCAUAACUACGAAAGAGUAUGCCCCAUUUAUCAGGUAUAAAUACUAUUGUCACAUUUCAAUUAAACCAAGAUGAUCUAUCUAUAUUAAAUACUUCAUUAUUAUAGUUUUUCUCUUCAGUGAAAACGCACCUACAACCGACAUCCAUUUCUAAUAAUCCAAAUGUGUAUAAUGCAGAACCAAUGCGUGAAUAAAGAAAAAUCUCAUUACUCUGGCACUGUGAAUGGAACAAUUCAUGUUGUUGUUGGCGGAGGUGGAAGUCACUUGUCAGACUUCACAACAGCACCUCCUAUUUGGAGUAUUUUCAGGGACAGAGACUACGGUUUCGUCAAACUGACAGCAUUCAAUCACUCAUAUCUCUUGUUUGAGUACAAGAAAAGUAGUGAUGGAAAGGUUUAUGACUCUUUUACAAUUUCCAGGGACUAUAGAGAUGUCUUGGCCUGUGUGCACGAUGGUUGUGAGAAAACCACCUUGGCACUCUGAAUUAUGUAGUCUACAUUAGAACUUGAUGUAGUCUUGAAAUGAAAUAAAAUAUUUUUCAAAAUAAGUAACAGUUAUUAUGUGUUAGGCCCUCUUCUAAAGAAUAUUUGUAAGGCUGUGCAAUUCUGGUUUCUCUAUUCUGUAACAGUGUGUAUGUAUGUAAUCUAUCUCUGUAUGAGAACAAUUCUCAAGAGAUCAUUUUGUGGACACGACUUUUGCCAUGAUUCAUUUAAUUUUCGCUACUGCAUGCUGUAACAGUGUGCAUUUAUGCAGAUAUUUUAGAGUGUGUGUGGAUGAGGUAAUUUGGAAAUUUUAAAGAAUUUAAAAUUCUAGGCAAUUUACCUCAAAGUAUUUGAAUUCCCUCGUAACAUUAUGUUUCCUCAACAUUACAUUACAUUCCCCCAUCCAACAAAUUCAUCAUGAUUUCAAGAAUAUGCCUUGCUAGGAUCACUAGAGAUGCAGAUCAAGAAAAUGCUAGCAUGUUCGGAAAAGAUAUAAACUAAUCCAAACACACUCCACAUUUCACUAAUAAAACACAACUAUUCCUUUGGUGAAGUUUAUUGACCGGUUCCCAUUAUUUUUAUUUUAAGGAUAUGUGAUUUGGGUGUGUUAAAUUAAAUCAAUCUAGAUAUAUUUAUUAAAGAGAAAUGAUAAUCUCUACAAUAUUUUUAGACAAUUUUUGAGACAAUUCGCUCUUAUUUUAAAAGAAGAGAAAAAAGAGUCUAUAUACUAAUAUAAAAAGAAAUGUCCGAUGAAUUUACCAUUUUGUCCCUAGAAGGGCCAUUUUGGUAAAUUAAUAAUUGGAGAAUGUUUUUUUUCAAGGUUGGCCUAUGAAUUUCCAUUUUUACCCCUAACCAAUUUUUUUUAAUUAUUUUCUAAUUUUAAUAAAUUUUAAUUAUUUUUAUAUUUUUAACUAUUUUUCAAUUUUUCCUCUCAAAUUCAAUUGCUUCUACAUUGCCGUUGUGGGAGAUUAAGGUAUCGUUUGACCCGACUUUUUUCAAACUUCUCUACAUUUUUAAAGAGAAGUUAGGCCAAACACAAUAUCAAUUAAGUACUUACUAAAAAAAGUACUUUUUUUGAACGCAUAAAAUUGAAUGGAAUGAGCUUUGACCAGAAGCUGUUGAAUGUUACUUUAAAAAACUACAUCUCGAUAAUUUAUUUCACAAGCACCUCUUUUCAACUCACGCCGGGAACUUUUUCUUUAUUUUUUAAUAUUAUAUUUCAAUAUGUUUUUUUCUUCCAUUUAACUUUAUUUUUUUAACCGUUCCGUUUAAUUUUUUAAGGAGGUUCCAUUUAAUUUUAUCUUUUUUUUCAAAGAAAUUUUAUUAUCUUUUUAUCACUUAUAUAUUUAAUUUCAAUAUUGUUUAAUCAUCACAAUCUCACAAAUAUUUUUAUUCAUGCUGUCAUUUAAUAAUCCCAAAUAUUUUAUCUCCUUUCUUCAACCUCGCGAAUAUAUACACACAUUAACGUUUAGAGUAAUAUUUUAUGUUCGUCUGUCUGUUUUUUUGUUACGCUAAUGCAUAUAAUUUUUUUAGUGUUGCUUGGUUGAGUGUUACAUCACCAAUUUUUUUUAACUAUUUUCCAAUUUUUAUAUUUUUAAAAUUUUUUAACUAUUUUACAAUUUUUUAUUUUUAACUAUUUUCCAAUUUUUUCUCCCAAAUUCAGUUACCUCUAUACUGCCGUUGUGGGCGAAUAAGAUACCGUUUGACCCGGUUUUUUUUCAACUUCUCUACAUUUUUAAGGAGAAGUUAGGCCAAAUACAAUAUCAAUUACAACAAUCCUAAAUAUAUUUUUUUGAACAGGAACAAUCCUAAAUAUUAAAAGACUGGGAAAACUACUUUGAAGUUCCAAUCGAUCAAUCAACGUGCAGAUUUCUCCUUUGCACUACUUUCAGGUGGAUUAUCCAAUGUAAGUCAUAUCUACUGAUCUUGUUUUUUGGUAUCUUCAAUGUUUUUUGUCUUUGCUUAGAUGUAGAUUUCACAUUAAAAAAAUCAGUGCCAUAUACUAGUGCUAUUAUUAGUAUGCAAUGAUCCUUAUUCAAUUUUAUGCUAACAAGUAACAACUAACAAGUGUUCAUUUGAUUGAGCAUUGCAGCCUAAGCUUGUUGCAGUUUCAAACUUCAUCGCAUUUGCAAAUCCUAAAGCACCUGUAUAUCCACGCCUUGCUCAUGGAAAGUCUUGGAAUGAAGUAAGUUUAUCUAGUCUAUUUAAUUACACAAUACUAACCUAACAUUUCCUAAUUAUACAUUGGUUCUUAUCAUCUAAAACUUUUGUAAUUGAAAUUGCUGCAUGAAUUGUCUAGCUUAAACAUUUAGAAUAAUGUUAAGAAAUUUGUUCAUCAAUGACAGAUGACAGUUACCUGGACAAGUGGAUAUGACAUAAAUGAAGUUGUCCCAUUUGUUGAAUGGGGUCCAAAGGGUGGAAAGCAGAUACAAUCUGCUGCUGGAACACUAACAUUCAAUCGUAACAGCAUGUGUGGUAUGGAUUAUUACAUAGUAACUCAUUUUCAUACCUUAAUAUAUUUUUCUAAAAAUGAAUCUUAACGAAUAAUGAGGACAUUUUCUUAAUAUGCAGGUCAACCUACACGAACUGUUGGCUGGCGUGAUCCUGGUUUUAUACAUACAAGUUUUCUUAAAGAACUUUGGCCAAAUAUGAGGUAUGAAUUAAACUAUUUUUGUUUAUGGCACUGCGAUUGGUUGAUAGAACUUCUGAAAGCUUAGUAACCUCCCUGUUUUUCCUUCAGGUACACCUACAGGUUAGGGCAUUUCUUAUCUGAUGGUUCUUAUGUAUGGAGUAAGAGGUAUUCAUUCAAGGCAUCUCCGUAUCCUGGACAGAACUCAUUGCAACGUGUUAUCAUAUUCGGUGACAUGGGAAAGGUAGCAUCAAUUAUUUAAGGUUUAUAAUGUUGGAAAGAAUGAUCAACUCCCAAAAGAAUUUUCCAACUUUUAAACAAGAAACUCUAAUUUUAAGCAUAUGAUUAGUACAGUGAUGAAAAUACUUUGUUUACUUCAUAUGACUUUCAGGCUGAGCGUGAUGGUUCAAAUGAAUUUGCUACUACCUCCGUUCCUUUUUAAUUGUCAUUUUUUGACAUUUUACACAAACCAAAACAAUCAAUAAAUGUUACUACUUUUGAUACAAUUGUUUUACCUUUUACUAUAAUGGCCUUAUUAAUUUAAUAUUUCAUUUCAUACGUUUCUCUCUCCGCAAUAAAUAUCUAAGGGUAAUAUUGGUAAAACACUAUUUAAUGUUGCAUUGAACUUUGAAAGUGACAGUUAAAUAGGAACAAAAAAUUUCUCUAAAAGUGACAGAUAAAAAGGAACGGUGGGAGUAAUUAUCAACCUGGUUCACUUAACACCACCGACCAACUCAUCAAGGAUUUGGACAGUUUCGACAUUGUUUUCCACAUAGGAGAUCUUCCAUAUGCAAAUGGAUACAUCUCACAGUGGGAUCAAUUCACAGCUCAGGUGCAACAAAUUUCAUCAACUGUUCCAUAUAUGAUAGCAAGGUUUGUUAGCUUGCAAUCAUUUUAUGCCAUUCACAUUUUAAUUGAGCUUUACAAAUUCUUUUAACUGAAGGAUAUAGUAUCACAUUUAUUCAUACUAUUACCCUGCUGAGAAUAAAGCCAAAUUCUGGUAAUAUUUAUUAAUCUAAAUCCAUAUUGUGACAUGUUUAGCUUUAUAACUCAGAUUUUCUUCUCAAAUUGAGUUUAUCAUCACUAGGAUGUACUAUUUCCCAUUCCAAUUGGAGCAGUUCUAGUUUCUGCAAGUGAAAAAUAAACAUACAACUAGGAUGUACUAUUUCCCAUUCCAAAUGAAUGAUGAAAAUUGGAAAUAUGCAGGUAUGCAACAGAUUAUGGCAUGUUUCAUUUCUGUAUAGCAGACAGUGAGCAUGACUGGAGAGAAGGAUCGGAACAGUACAAAUUCAUCGAGCAUUACCUUGCAACUGUAGAUAGAAAACAACAACCAUGGUUAAUAUUUGCAGCACAUCGCCCACUUGCUUACUCCUCUAAUGAUUGGUAUGCCGAGGAGGGUUCAUUUGAAGAGCCCAUGGGAAGGGAAAGUUUGCAGAGGCUUUGGCAGAAGUAUAAAGUAGACAUUGGAUUUUAUGGUCAUAUCCAUAACUAUGAAAGAGUGUGCCCUAUUUAUCAGGUAUAAAUAUUAAAUACUUCAUAUUAUAGUAUUUUUCUUCCUUCUAAAUGCACCAGCAUCGGUUUCUAACCAUCUAAAUGUGUACAAUGCAGAACCAAUGCGUGAACAAUGAAAAAUCUCAUUACUCUGGCACUGUGAAUGGAACAAUUCAUGUUGUUGUUGGUGGAGGUGGAAGUCACUUGUCAGACUUCACCACAGCACCUCCUAUUUGGAGUAUUUUCAGAGAC
rnacentral:lncRNA from 1 species